AGGAGGGGCUUGCGCCAUAUUAGUUAGUUGGUAGGGUAAUGGCCUACCAAGACGAUGAUGUGUAGCUGGACUGAGAGGUUGAACAGCCACAUUGGGACUGAGACACGGCCCAAACUCCUACGGGAGGCAGCAGUAGGGAAUUUUCGGCAAUGGAGGAAACUCUGACCGAGCAACGCCGCGUGAACGACGAAGUACUUUGGUAUGUAAAGUUCUUUUAUCAAGGAAGAAAAGCAAGUGGUGAACCAUUUGUUUGCCGGUACUUGAUGAAUAAGCCCCGGCUAAUUAUGUGCCAGCAGCCGCGGUAAGACAUAAGGGGCAAGUGUUAUCCGGAAUUAUUGGGCGUAAAGGGUGCGUAGGCGGUCUAGUAAGUCAGUGGUGUAAUGGCAACGCUCAACGUUGUCCGGCUAUUGAAACUGCUAAACUUGAGUUAGAUAGAGGCGAGUGGAAUUCCAUGUGUAGCGGUAAAAUGCGUAAAUAUAUGGAGGAACACCAGAGGCGUAGGCGGCUCGCUGGGUCUUAACUGACGCUGAGGCACGAAAGCGUGGGGAGCAAACAGGAUUAGAUACCCUGGUAGUCCACGCCGUAAACGAUGAGUACUAAGUGUCGGGUUAAACCGGUACUGAAGUUAACACAUUAAGUACUCCGCCUGAGUAGUACGUACGCAAGUAUGAAACUUAAAGGAAUUGACGGGACUCCGCACAAGCGGUGGAUCAUGUUGUUUAAUUCGAAGAUACCCGAAAAACCUUACCAGGUCUUGACAUGUUUUUGCGAAACGGUAGUAAUAUCGUGGAGGUUAUCAGAAACACAGGUGGUGCAUGGUUGUCGUCAGCUCGUGUCGUGAGAUGUUAGGUUAAGUCCUAAAACGAGCGAAACCCUUAUCGUUAGUUGCCAGCACGUUAUGGUGGGGACUUUAACGAGACUGCCAGUGAUAAAUUGGAGGAAGGUGAGGAUCACGUCAAAUCAGCAUGCCCCUUAUGACCUGGGCUACAAACGUGAUACAAUGGCUGUUACAAAGGGUAGCUGAAACGCAAGUUCUUGGCCAAUCCCCAAAAACAGUCUCAGUCCGGAUUGAAGUCUGCAACUCGACUUCAUGAAGUGGAAUCGCUAGUAAUC
rnacentral:rRNA from 1 species